CCUACGGGGGGCUGCAGUGGGGAAUAUUGGACAAUGGGGGCAACCCUGAUCCAGCCAUGCCGCGUGUGUGAAGAAGGCCCUCGGGUUGUAAAGCACUUUCAGUGAGGAAGAACGCCUGGUGGUUAAUACCCAUCAGGAAAGACAUCACUCACAGAAGAAGCACCGGCUAACUCCGUGCCAGCAGCCGCGGUAAUACGGAGGGUGCGAGCGUUAAUCGGAAUUACUGGGCGUAAAGCGCGCGUAGGUGGCUUGAUAAGCCGGUUGUGAAAGCCCCGGGCGCAACCUGGGAACGGCAUCCGGAACUGUCAAGCUAGAGUGCAGGAGAGGAAGGUAGAAUUCCCGGUGUAGCGGUGAAAUGCGUAGAGAUCGGGAGGAAUACCAGUGGCGAAGGCGGCCUUCUGGACUGACACUGACACUGAGGUGCGAAAGCGUGGGUAGCAAACAGGAUUAGAUACCCUGGUAGUC
rnacentral:rRNA from 1 species